rnacentral:rRNA from 1 species
UACGUAGGGGGGCAAGCGUUGUCCGGAUUUAUUGGGCGUAAAGAGCUCGUAGGUGGUUCGGUAAGUCGGAUGUGAAAUCUCCAGGCUCAACCUGGAGGGGUCAUUCGAUACUGCCGUGACUAGAGGUCGGUAGGGGAGUGUGGAAUUCCUGGUGGAGCGGUGAAAUGCGCAGAUAUCAGGAGGAACACCCGUAGCGAAGGCGGCACUCUGGGCCAUACUGACACUGAG